AGAGUUUGAUCCUGGCUCAGAACGAACGCUGGCGGCAGGCCUAACACAUGCGAGUCGAACGCCCCGCAAGGGGAGUGGCAGACGGGUGAGUAACGCGUGGGAACAUACCCUUCGGUUCGGAAUAGCUCAGGGAAACUUGGAUUAAUACCGGAUACGUCCGUAAGGAGAAAGAUUUAUCGCCGAAGGAUUGGCCCGCGUCUGAUUAGCUUGUUGGUGAGGUAAUGGCUCACCAAGGCGACGAUCAGUAGCUGGUCUGAGAGGAUGACCAGCCACAUUGGGACUGAGACACGGCCCAAACUCCUACGGGAGGCAGCAGUGGGGAAUAUUGGACAAUGGGCGAAAGCCUGAUCCAGCCAUGCCGCGUGAGUGAUGAAGGCCUUA
rnacentral:rRNA from 1 species